GUCUACGGCCAUGCUACCCUGAACAAGCCCGAUCCCGUCUGAUCUCGGAAGCUAAGCAGGGUCGGGCCUAUCAUAUGUCCAUAUAUAAUAGCUAGAGUUAGUACUUGGAUGGGAGACCAUCUAGGAAGACCAGGUGCUGUAGGCG
rnacentral:rRNA from 1 species